UCGGGAUAUAGCGCAGUUUGGUAGCGCGCCUGCUUUGGGAGCAGGAUGUCGCAGGUUCGAAUCCUGCUAUCCCGAG
rnacentral:tRNA from 1 species